GUUUCCUUAUGUUCUAUAUGUUACUAUAGAAUUGGUAUAGUUGUGCGCUUUCGUAAUAAUUGUGAUUGGUAAAGUAUUUGGAACAUGUCUGUAAGGGAAGUGAAUUCUCGAAAUCCGGGGAUUAGACUUCGUUGGGAAUCGACUGAUUGUCGAGUGUGUAAGCUCCGGAAAGUCCGAAGGUGGUUAUAAUGCAUAAAGUGCAUCGAGGAAAUGUCCGUGAGAGUAC
rnacentral:lncRNA from 1 species